UGAAAUACAGAUAGGGACCACACAUCUCAAAUAACUUCCAGUUACAGGAAGGAGAGGACUAGAAGGAGCUGGAUGUCGACUCUUGAGUUUCCUUUCUGGAUCGUGCCACCAGCAGCCAGUUGUCUAGAUGGGAAGAGUGUUUCCUGCCACCAUCCAGAAGAACAAUCAAAAUCAGAUGGGAACAUCGCAAUACAAAGGAUUGAUUAAUGGCCCUAUCGCAUUUUAGAAAUACCACAUGCAAGGAAGCUGGUCUAUGGACUUGGAGGCUGAAUGAUGGAAAUGAAAAAAAGACACAGGAAGAUGUUAGAUCUCUCUGCAGUUUGAACUCUGACAGGGCCAGAGACUCUAAACUGAGAGGCAGAGACGCCCAGGAGUUUUCUGCCCUGAAAGCCAUCUUGAAUUGACAGAGAUGUAGUAUCUUUAAAAAUCAUAGAUGGUAACUCGUUUGUGUUUAUGUUUGCUUGCUUUAGCCUGGAAAUAAGAGAAUUAUUUCUUUUUUCUAGUUAAUAAACCUUUAAGUUAGGGCACGUCUUCACUACCCGCCGGAUCGGUGGGUAGCAAUCGAUCUAUU